GGAGGGAGAAGCGGUACGCAUGCGCUCUCGACUGCAACGUGGAGGGGGAAAAUGUCUAAGCCGCGGCAGGAGUCUUUUAGCGUGGCUCGGGAGAUAGAUCGCCUGGAGGAGAAGCUGACCCAGUGCAGAGAGGCCUUGGAAGAAGUGGAUUUUAAACUGCGGAGAAAAGAACUGACUCCUGAGGGGAGAAAGUCACUGGAGAAGGAGAAAAUCGUGCUGGCAGCCAAAGCUGAAGACUACGAGAAAGAACUGAAAAUGCUUCACCGGGCAAAUCACAAGAACGCAGCACUCUCAAUAGCCCUUUUAGUUUUGGUGGUGGUGAUUUAUGUCUGCUGGACGAUGUAACAGAUUACACAGGCACCUUCCUAAGGACUUGACUGCAGAAGCCUCCUUUGUUCUCCCUCGGCCCUUCUCAGGGGUGCGUUGGUCUCUCAGCACCCUGACCUUUCACAGCCUAGGCCUUUCUCACCUUGGACACCUCAGGAAGGACAGGAAGCCAUUUUUGACAGGGAUGGGAAUGCCGUUUGAAGCCUGCACAUUCCCUGCCCUGCUGGCUGCAAGUAGUGGUUUUGUGAAUACAUACUGGACCUUAACAAAGAUUCUGCAUUACAAGCAACUCGCCUUCUCUUUUUCUGUUCCUUCUCACACCUAAUCCAACUUUAUACAUAACAGCAUUUAACUCCAAACUACAACUCCCCUUAGUACCAUUUUCCAGUAAAAACCCUAAACUUUAAUCUAUGCCUUGCAACACUGGUCACACAACACAACUUCUGUAACUAAAGUGACAUUCCUAUGUUGGAUCUUCCAGUCUCAGGGAGACCACCAGGCUAAACAGACUGGGCCUAUUUAUGAUGCCUGAGAUUUAGUCACACAAGCCAUUAAUAGGUACAAGAUUUAUAUACUACCCCUAAGGAGGCUUCUGAGAGUUUAAAAGUGAAGUUUACAAAUGAACAUGGGUCUGUGCUGCCUAGUAUGAGUGAAAAACACCUCACCCAGAAUCCAGUACUUCUCUUCACAGACAGGCCAUGUCCCUUUGCAUAAUUCCUGUUUUGACUUCUUUGGUGUGAGAGGGGCUGAGGCUUGUUUGGUGCCUACCUUUUUAGGAGGCCUGACAUACUUCUUUAAGGCACGACCUUGGCAACCAAUACCCAUCCCACCCAAUCAAUACUGUCCUUUAUUGCCAACCCACAAGUGCUUAAUUGACUUCACUGCCUAAGCCCAAGCACUUUUGCUAUAUUAUUAGCAAAUGGCUCCCAGAUCCUACAUGAAAUGCCAACAAGGGGAAAGCACAGCCAUGCACCUUCAAAUUGCCUUUUGUUCCCCGCACCUGAUGGCGCAUACUGAAUAAAAGACAGGCUGUUUUUCAUUGUUAUUAGGGAAAACAUGAAGGAUUCCUUAUUCACAGUUCUGUGCCUUCACUCCAGACAGGAUUUCUGACCCACACAGUUAGAUGUUUUUAUGCCGAUUUUAAGAAUUCAGAAAGUUCUCUACAAGAUGGCAUCUGCAUUAUCCUGGAAGGAUCACGUUGUGGUCUUUUCAGGCAACCCACAGGCUUCUCAGAUCUCUCUACGGUCACCAGUCCUCUCAACUUCAGAUCUUCCCAUCUCUCUGACUUAGGGAAAACCACAGGACGUGCCUCAAGCAAAACAUCAUCUUUCUGGAACUAGUAAGAGCCAAAGGAGGUCAAAAAAGGACAUGCCUCAGGAUGGCAGCCUUAUAUAUUUGCAUAGAACCAUGAAAUUCAGCUGGAAGCAGAGUCACAAGAUCACUGCUACCUAAGCUGCUACUAUCAACUUUUGCCUGACUUCUGCUCCCCAAGAUACCAGCACCCAGAAUUUCCCAGGACCAUAAGCCAAACAGGCAGUGCACAAGACUACAUCCCAAUGCAUCACUUGCCCUAAAGGCCUGUUGCACAGAAAGGCAACCCAAGCCAAAAUAAAGCUGAUCAAAACAGGUGGUGCUGGAGACCGGUGCGCGUCUUCUUGUUUGCUGGGUUACAUGUGGGGGCCACAAUCCAGGCUAUGUUCAAAGGAUGGGUUGAAAAAGCCUAGGGAGGGUAUGGUGGGGAUCAAUCCGGAAGAAUGUCCUCUGCUCCAGGAGUCUCAUCUCUUGUGCUCCUUGAAGCAUUGGCUGCCAGGAGCAAAUACAUAUAUACAGUGCCAUUUUGCAGUCUGAACUCUUGUCCCAUUUAUUUUGCACUGAGCACCCUACCACCCAACUGGCCCUCCUUGUCAGCAGUUUCUUCCAUGGCUCACUGCAUCUGGUUGGAAGAAACCCAUUCCAAUCCUUGGCUAAAGGUUCCAAGCCAGGUUCAGUCCCUGUCCCCUAGGACUUGACAAGGGACUGGUCAGAGGGGAGAAUGGAGUCUGAUGAAGGACAAGACAGCCUCUUUGGAUAGCGUUUCUGGAUCUUCACUUUUUUGAGAGUCGUGCACUUUGACGCCAUCGCCCCAUUCCCAGAAAAGGCGGUUGAAGUAGCAAAUGCUGGGGACAAAGAAGAUAGAAAUAAGCAAAGAAAGCCAACCCAGGUGAUGAUACAGAAAACACUGUGGAUAAGAAGGUCAGGGUGGAUAAAAAUUAAUGAUUUUUUAAAAAAAUAAAUAAAAAGGUCAGAUUUUAAUUGGAUUUUUUUAAUAGAAUGCUUUUUGAGGAAAAAUCUAUCUAAAGAUACUUUAAAUAGUUUUAUAUUUAAGAUAUAGUGUAAUUAUUAAGCCUGAAAUAAGGAUUUGUUUUUAGUUAUGUAGAAUGAGACUGUAUAUUCAUGCAAUGAUUACAUUUUGGGGUAAAUGAAUUCCAUUAAUCCAGUCACAAUGUCAUGCUGUUCCAGAGGUUUCUAUAAGAAUUUGGGCAAUUUUCCAUCUAGAAGAUAUUAUCACAGACGCUUUAUGUCACACAAAUGUCUCUACUUCACAGCAAAAAUGUUAUAAAAUAAACAUACAGAGUUGAGAGAAA